GCGGAUGUGGCGGAAUUGGUAGACGCGCACGGUUCAGGUCCGUGUGGGGGUAACCCCGUGGAGGUUCAAGUCCUCUCAUCCGCA
rnacentral:tRNA from 2 species